rnacentral:rRNA from 1 species
CGGAGGAUCCGAGCGUUAUCCGGAUUUAUUGGGUUUAAAGGGAGCGUAGGUGGACAUGUAAGUCAGUUGUGAAAGUUUGCGGCUCAACCGUAAAAUUGCAGUUGAUACUGCGUGUCUUGAGUACAGUAGAGGUGGGCGGAAUUCGUGGUGUAGCGGUGAAAUGCUUAGAUAUCACGAAGAACUCCGAUUGCGAAGGCAGCUCACUGGACUGCAACUGACACUGAUGCUCGAAAGUGUGGGUAUCAAACAGGAUU